CCUUACCUACUCUUGACAUCCAGAGAACUUUCCAGAGAUGGAUUGGUGCCUUCGGGAACUCUGAGACAGGUGCUGCAUGGCUGUCGUCAGCUCGUGUUGUGAAAUGUUGGGUUAAGUCCCGCAACGAGCGCAACCCUUAUCCUUGUUUGCCAGCGAGUAAUGUCGGGAACUCCAGGGAGACUGCCGGUGAUAAACCGGAGGAAGGUGGGGACGACGUCAAGUCAUCAUGGCCCUUACGAGUAGGGCUACACACGUGCUACAAUGGCGCAUACAGAGGGCGGCCAACUUGCGAAAGUGAGCGAAUCCCAAAAAGUGCGUCGUAGUCCGGAUUGGAGUCUGCAACUCGACUCCAUGAAGUCGGAAUCGCUAGUAAUCGUGGAUCAGAAUGCCACGGUGAAUACGUUCCCGGGCCUUGUACACACCGCCCGUCACACCAUGGGAGUGGGCUGCAAAAGAAGUAGGUAGUUUAACCUUCGGGGGG
rnacentral:rRNA from 1 species